rnacentral:ribozyme from 12 species
GCAUAUCUAUUACUUAUUGGUCUUCAACUUUGGAUUUUUUUUUUUUUUUUUUUCAACUCACAUUAUUGCGUUAUCAUACAACAGUGCUGUAUGCCAGACUACUCGCAAACGUCCCAAAGGCAAUCUAAACAAUGAAUUUUUUUUUUUUUUUUUUUUU